rnacentral:rRNA from 1 species
AUGAACGCUGGCGGCGUGCCUAAUACAUACAAGUCGAGCGAACGGACGAGAAGCUUGCUUCUCUGAUGUUAGCGGCGGACGGGUGAGUAACACGUGGAUAACCUACCUAUAAGACUGGGAUAACUUCGGGAAACCGUAGCUAAUACCGGAUAAUAUUUUGAACCGCAUGGUUCAAAAGUGAAAGACGGUCUUGCUGUCACUUAUAGAUGGAUCCGCGCUGCAUUAGCUAGUUGGUAAGGUAACGGCUUACCAAGGCAACGAUGCAUAGCCGACCUGAGAGGGUGAUCGGCCACACUGGAACUGAGACACGGUCCAGACUCCUACGGGAGGCAGCAGUAGGGAAUCUUCCGCAAUGGGCGAAAGCCUGACGGAGCAACGCCGCGUGAGUGAUGAAGGUCUUCGGAUCGUAAAACUCUGUUAUUAGGGAAGAACAUAUGUGUAAGUAACUGUGCACAUCUUGACGGUACCUAAUCAGAAAGCCACGGCUAACUACGU